CCUACGGGAGGCAGCAGUAGGGAAUUUUCCGCAAUGGGCGAAAGCCUGACGGAGCAACGCCGCGUGAGUGAGGACGGCCUUCGGGUUGUAAAACUCUGUUCUUGAGGAAGAAUUCCUUCCAGGCGAACAGCCUGGAAGGUUGACGGUACUCAAGGAGAAAGCCCCGGCUAACUACGUGCCAGCAGCCGCGGUAAU
rnacentral:rRNA from 1 species